AGCGAACGCUGGCGGCAGGCCUAACACAUGCAAGUCGAACGAACCCUUCGGGGUUAGUAGCGGACGGGUGAGUAACACGUGGGAACGUGCCUUUAGGUUCGGAAUAACUCAGGGAAACUUGUGCUAAUACCGAAUGUGCCCUUCGGGGGAAAGAUUUAUCGCCUUUAGAGCGGCCCGCGUCUGAUUAGCUAGUUGGUGAGGUAAUGGCUCACCAAGGCUACGAUCAGUAGCUGGUCUGAGAGGAUGACCAGCCACAUUGGGGCUGAGACACGGCCCAAACUCCUACGGGAGGCAGCAGUGGGGAAUCUUGCGCAAUGGGCGAAAGCCUGACGCAGCCAUGCCGCGUGGAUGAUGAAGGUCUUAGGAUUGUAAAAUCCUUUCACCGGUGAAGAUAAUGACUGUAGCCGGAGAAGAAGCCCCGGCUAACUUCGUGCCAGCAGCCGCCGUAAGAC
rnacentral:rRNA from 1 species